UGGAAAGCGGCGAAAGGGAGAGUAAUGUGUGGAUACCUGCCCUCGGGUCCGGGAUAGCUGCGGGUAACUGCGGGUAAUACCGGAUAACAUCUCCGGAUCAAAGGUGCGAUUCCGCCUGGGGAUGGGUCCGCAUCCUAUUAGCUUGUUGGUGGGGUAACGGCCUACCAAGGCAACGAUGGGUACCGGGUGUGAGAGCAUGGCCCGGCUCACUGGGACUGAGACACUGCCCAGACACCUACGGGUGGCUGCAGUCGAGAAUCUUCGGCAAUGGGCGAAAGCCUGACCGAGCGACGCCGCGUGCGGGAUGAAGGCCUUCGGGUUGUAAACCGCUGUCAGAGGGGAGGAAAUCCUGAGGGGCUAUCCCCUCAGGUUGACCUAUCCUCAGAGGAAGGGCGGGCUAAGUUCGUGCCAGCAGCCGCGGUAAGACGAACCGCCCAAACGUUAUUCGGAAUCACUGGGCUUAAAGGGUGCGUAGGCGGCGCGAUAAGUCGGGUGUGAAAUCCCUCGGCUCAACCGAGGAACUGCGCCCGAUACUGUCGUGCUUGAGGAAGGCAGAGGUGAGCGGAACUGAUGGUGGAGCGGUGAAAUGCGUUGAUAUCAUCAGGAACACCAGUGGCGAAGGCGGCUCACUGGGCCUUUUCUGACGCUGAGGCACGAAAGCUAGGGGAGCGAACGGGAUUAGAUACCCCGGUAGUCCUAGCUGUAAACGAUGAGCACUUGG
rnacentral:rRNA from 1 species